rnacentral:rRNA from 1 species
UACGUAGGGGGCUAGCGUUGUCCGGAAUCAUUGGGCGUAAAGCGCGUGUAGGCGGUCCGGUAAGUCCGCUGUGAAAGUCGGGGGCUCAACCCUCGAAUGCCGGUGGAUACUGUCGGGCUAGAGUGCGGAAGAGGCGAGUGGAAUUCCUGGUGUAGCGGUGAAAUGCGCAGAUAUCAGGAGGAACACCGGUGGCGAAGGCGGAUCUCUGGGCCAUUACUGACGCUGAGGAGCGAAAGCGUGGGGAGCGAACAGG